GCCAAACUGUAAAAACUUAACUCACACCUACAAACGCCAGGGUAUUACGAGCCCAGCUUAAAACCCAAAGGACUUGACGGUGUCCUACCCAACUAGAGGAGCCUGUUCUGUAAUCGAUAAUCCACGGUAUACCUUACCACUUUUUGCCAAUCAGCCUGUAUACCUCCGUCGCAAGCUCACCGUAUGAACGCAUAGUAGUGAACUUAAAGGCCAAACACCCAAACGUCAGGUCAAGGUGCAGCUAAUAAAGUGGAAGCAAUGGGCUACAAUUUCUAAUUUAGAACAAACGAAAUGCUACAUGAAACAUAGUCAUGAAGGCGGAUUUAGCAGUAAGUAGGAAAUAGAGAGUCCUACUAAACUUGGCCCUAGGACGUGUACAAACCGCCCGUCACCCUCUUCGAUAGCCAUACUACAGUCUAUAACACAAGUCUGCACCAAAGAAGAGGCAAGUCGUAACAUGGUAAGUGUACUGGAAAGUGUACUUGGAAUAACAAAAUGUAGCUUAAUCUAAAGCCUCUCGCUUACACCGAGAAAACGUUUGUUCAACCCAAAUCAUUUUGAGACCGUAAAUCUAGCCUGCAACCACCAUAUGACAAAACCUUCUCAUUAUAAUAAAAUAAAACAUUUUAAUUUUAUAGUAGAGGCGAUCAAAAAAUAUCUAAGCGCUUAAAAAACAGUACCGUAAGGGAACAAUGAAAUAAAAAUGAAAUAAAUUUAAAGUCCAUUAAAGCAGAGACCUAAGCUCG
rnacentral:rRNA from 1 species